rnacentral:rRNA from 1 species
UACGGAGGGGGCUAGCGUUGUUCGGAAUUACUGGGCGUAAAGCGCACGUAGGCGGCUUUGUAAGUUAGAGGUGAAAGCCCGGGGCUCAACUCCGGAAUUGCCUUUAAGACUGCCGAGCUAGCAGGUGAGAGAGGUGAGUGGAAUUCCGAGUGUAGAGGUGAAAUUCGUAGAUAUUCGGAAGAACACCAGUGGCGAAGGCGGCUCACUGGCUCAUACUGGACGCUGAGGUGCGAAAGCGUGGGGAGCAAACAGG